rnacentral:sRNA from 1 species
CCCCAAGAUACUGGCUACGUUGCCUCGUU